GAGCGUGCAGAUUUUAUCUGUGAUGUGUGAGGGAAUCGCAUCAGCUCACACAGCAACUGCAAGUGGUGUUUAUUCAUUUUGGGCUGGGGGGUGGAAGAAAGGGUCUGAGUCAUAAAAUCUCAAGCCAUACUCCAGUUUCUUUAAAAUCAGUGUGUGUUCAGGAGCAGAGUUUUUGUCUCUGCAACUCUGAGACCACUAACACUCUUUAUUCAUUAACUUCUGGACAGAAGUUUGAAAAACAUUCAUAUUUUGAAACCCAGCUUUUCACAGGGUGAGUGACCAAAUUAUUAUUAUUAUUAUUUUUAUUUAUUUAUUUAUUUUCAGAAGCACUAGCUUACUAGCACAGUGCCUUUCCCUGGGUAUUGCUGGUUUGAUUACACUGACAAAAUAAAUGUCCUGCAUCUCUCUGCCUCCUAGCCUGGGACUGUGUGUGUGGGAUUUGUCGGGCUGGUAAUUAAGCCUGACGCUAACUGCUGAAGUCCAUUUCAUCCAGCAUUGGAUAAAACACAGCCAGUGCCUUCCCGCAGCAAGCAAGCUCUGGCAGGGGGAUGGUCACAGAUGCCAGGGGGGUCUCAGCCAAAUCCCAUCUCUGCCCUGCAGCAGUGCCAGCCCAUCCAUCCCUGUGUGUGGAGAAGGUAUCGCUGUGCACCACACAAGCCGUCAGACCUUGGCUGUACAGUUGACCCCAUUUCCCUGCAUCAGCCCAGGCACUGGAGCCGAGGAAGGGCUCUGUGGGCAGUGCUGGCACCCCACAGCCGCUGGCGAGGUGAGCCCUGGUUCCCGUCUGCGCUUGGCCGGGGCCAAGUCUGGCACCACAUGUCAUUGUCCUGGAGGGGACCUAGCCACGGGCUUGGAAACACCCUGCGCUGGGAGUUUUCAGCACUGUGGAGGAAUGAAAUGAAAAAAAACUGCAGUCAUGUCACUGCCGUCCAAAAUAAACAGGGAUGUGGGGGUGGCGAUCCUGCUUUUUUUUUUCCCUUCUGCAUCCCUCAGUCACAGCUGGGAUUGGGGCAUUAACCCUGCUCCUGCUAAGCUGCCUCGUUGCCCUUCCAGGUGGGAGACAGGUGCUUUGCUGUCAGCUUUUCUGCAGGUGUGAGAAAGGGAGACUCCCCCCGCAUUUUGGUCCCAUGCUAUGUGACAUCGUGCUGGUGAGCCCUGUGGCUGACAGUGCCUGUGGGGCUGAGCCCCACGUGCCUUGCCCCCUGCACACGUUUGGGGCCACUACUUCUCCUUCAGCCCUCUCCUGGAACCCCAGCAAAAUGCCCCGUGGGAAAUACAGACAUGAGAAGAUGAUGGUAAUGGGGCCCAGCAGUCUUGUCAUGUACAGUGCUGUGCUCCCAGGGGGUUUCUUUGUUGGCCGUCACCUCAAGGAACAGCUGCUGUCCUUGCUCCAGGCUAUUCUAUUUCCACUGGCCCAGAUAACUGAAAGCUGCUGA
rnacentral:lncRNA from 1 species